GCGUGGGGCAGAAGCAUCCAGGUCUCAGCUGACCUUCGGAUGGGAAAAGUGGAGGAGCAAGCACCAAGCGUUUGGAAGCAAAGGAAGAGAGGAAUUAAAGCAUGAAAAGAAAGAUUACAGCACUGGAGGAAAAAUAAAGAUCAGAGGAAGGCUUGUCCAUGAAAUCUCCUCUUUAGGCAGCAGCCAGUGUGUAAGUAACAUUUCUGGAAGCGUUCUUGGAGACAUUCACCUACGUUGCCGACACGUGGACUAUGGCAGUGUGUGUGCGGAGCCGAGACGUGAAGUUUGUUCCUGGCGCAGUGCAGCAGAGCUCUUCAGAAGUGUCGUACUCUCCCUGGCUACAGUGAGCUGGAUAUAACCAAGGUUUUCUCUCCUUACGAGCCGCAGUCUGUCUAGCGAGUAAAUGAGGCGAGAUUUAGAAAUCCCAGCUUCUGUACACAAAGAGUCAAGUGCUAAGAAAUAUCCCGAUGAAGCGAAUUGAGCAGGUUUGGCUUUUAAAUGCGCACACUUGCUAUAAAGAUGGGCGUUAAAGCAAUACCGCCUUAAGGCUGAGACAAGGCUUUGUUUUGGCAAAGUUGUCUCAUGUUUGCAAAUAACACCAAGACAUUCGAGAGGAAGGAGAGAGCAAUCCUUACGCCUGGUAUCAAGAAAAGCAGGUGCCUGAGCGUCUUUUCACUAUUCCUUGGCCUGAAUGGAAGGAAAAUGCAGCUGUGUCUCCGAAAUAAUACAGGAGGCAACAGCCUUAAAAUGCUUCCCUUUAGGCUGAGCACGCAGACUAACUCGAGGCGUUUGGAUUUGCUUGUGGUUUGCUUGCCGGUGCGACUUAGUGAGCGUGAUACUGACCCUCCGCAAUAUAUACAUCAUGUAUAAGCAAACGUCUCUCAGCUGCUGUCCCUUCUGCCGUCAGGUAGCCAGUACGUCUCGGCUUCUAUCGUCAUUUAAAGAACAAACCAUCCUUAAUCCUGAAAUGAUCCGAUAUUUUUGUAUUCUCGCUUGCAUCCGGAGAGCCGUAAGCAUUGCGAUAGCCGAACUACGACACACUCGGUGCAAGCAGAACGUUUAUUAACUUCAUGAGGUUACAUUGGUUUGGCAUCGAUUUCGCACGGUAGUUCAGAACAGCCUGCCACGCAAGGACUAGAAGGCGAAGGGAUUGAUACUUUAAAACCCAAGACGCUUACUCAGCCCUGAAGAAAGCUGGCGUUAGGAUGUGAGAAGUUGAUACUGCUCCUAAUGUUCAAAACACGAUGGGUUUUGCUAUCCCAGGCCCAGGAAAUCGGUGCUUUGAGGACAGAAAUGUGGGAGACCGAGAAGCUUUCUGGCGAGAUAUCCACAUACUUAAACGGCACCGAUUUCUGGGGUUGUAACUUGGACGUGAAGGACAGGGCCUGCAGGUGACUAAAUGCUCACGCGACUGGGCUUCUGUUUUUAAUGUAGCAGAUAAGAGAAGAGCACCAAGGAAACAGGCCAAAGAGAGGAGGCGAGCCAUGGGGAGUGUUUGCUUUGCCAACGCCUCUCGGAACAACAGCGUGAGAGCAUGUGUCAUGUUUUAGCUGAAUGGCUUCGAAAAAUUAUUAGGUGAAAAGCCAAGCUUUUCAUAGACACUAAGGGGAUUCGUUUGCCUGCUAGCUAACAGAAAUUUUGGGUGCAUUCCGAGGUGUUUUCACAAAACUGGUGGCUACAUACUCUUUUUUUUUUUUAUUUAAAGUACUUAGGUUUGAGCUGUAAAAUGUUGGGGUUGGGUUGGUUUAGGAAAAAAAAAAAUUGAAAAGCAUCGACACCCCGUGUCUGUAUCAUUUAAUUACCAGUUGUAAUUAAAGCUCCGGAAUUGAAGAAGCUUGUAGCAGCUCAGAUGAAAUAACCCGUUAAACAUAAAGAGCCCCAACACGCA